rnacentral:rRNA from 1 species
UACAGGGGGUGCAAACGUUGCUCGGAAUUAUUGGGCGUGAAGCGCGCGUAGGCGGUCACCUAAGUCGAAUGUGAAAGCCCUCGGCUCAACCGGGGAAGUGCAUCCGAAACUGGGCGACUGGAGUACCAAAGAGGGUCGCGGAAUUCCCGGUGUAGAGGUGAAAUUCGUAGAUAUCGGGAGGAACACCGGCGGCGAAGGCGGCGACCUGGUUGGAUACUGACGCUGAGGCGCGAAAGCCAGGGGAGCAAACGGG